rnacentral:rRNA from 1 species
AGUGAACGCUGGCGGUAGGCCUAACACAUGCAAGUCGAACGGCAGCACAGUAAGAGCUUGCUCUUACGGGUGGCGAGUGGCGGACGGGUGAGGAAUACAUCGGAAUCUACUUUUUCGUGGGGGAUAACGUAGGGAAACUUACGCUAAUACCGCAUACGACCUACGGGUGAAAGCAGGGGAUCUUCGGACCUUGCGCGAUUGAAUGAGCCGAUGUCGGAUUAGCUAGUUGGCGGGGUAAAGGCCCACCAAGGCGACGAUCCGUAGCUGGUCUGAGAGGAUGAUCAGCCACACUGGAACUGAGACACGGUCCAGACUCCUACGGGAGGAAGAAGUGGGGAAUAUUGGACAAUGGGCGCAAGCCUGAUCCAGCCAUACCGCGUGGGUGAAGAAGGCCUUCGGGUUGUAAAGCCCUUUUGUUGGGAAAGAAAAGCAGCAGGUUAAUACCCCGCUGUUCUGACGGUACCCAAAGAAUAAGCACCGGCUAACUUCGUG